GAUGAACGCUGACAGAAUGCUUAACACAUGCAAGUCUACUUGAAUUUGGGUUUUUUAACUUAGAUUUGGGUGGCGGACGGGUGAGUAACGCGUAAAGAACUUGCCUCACAGCUAGGGACAACAUUUGGAAACGAAUGCUAAUACCUGAUAUUAUGAUUAUAAGGCAUCUUAGAAUUAUGAAAGCUAUAUGCGCUGUGAGAGAGCUUUGCGUCCCAUUAGCUAGUUGGAGAGGUAACGGCUCACCAAGGCGAUGAUGGGUAGCCGGCCUGAGAGGGUGAACGGCCACAAGGGGACUGAGACACGGCCCUUACUCCUACGGGAGGCAGCAGUGGGGAAUAUUGGACAAUGGACCAAGAGUCUGAUCCAGCAAUUCUGUGUGCACGAUGACGUUUUUCGGAAUGUAAAGUGCUUUCAGUUGGGAAGAAAAAAAUGACGGUACCAACAGAAGAAGUGACGGCUAAAUACGUGCCAGCAGCCGCGGUAAUACGUAUGUCACAAGCGUUAUCCGGAUUUAUUGGGCGUAAAGCGCGUCUAGGUGGUUAUGUAAGUCUGAUGUGAAAAUGCAGGGCUCAACUCUGUAUUGCGUUGGAAACUGUGUAACUAGAGUACUGGAGAGGUAAGUGGAACUACAAGUGUAGAGGUGAAAUUCGUAGAUAUUUGUAGGAAUGCCGAUGGGGAAGCCAGCUUACUGGACAGAUACUGACGCUGAAGCGCGAAAGCGUGGGUAGCAAACAGG
rnacentral:rRNA from 1 species